rnacentral:rRNA from 1 species
AUUGAACGCUGGCGGCAUGCCUUACACAUGCAAGUCGAACGGUAACAGGUCUUCGGAUGCUGACGAGUGGCGAACGGGUGAGUAAUACAUCGGAACGUGCCCGAUCGUGGGGGAUAACGAAGCGAAAGCUUUGCUAAUACUGCAUACGAUCUACGGAUGAAAGCAGGGGACCGCAAGGCCUUGCGCGAACGGAGCGGCCGAUGGCAGAUUAGGUAGUUGGUGGGAUAAAAGCUUACCAAGCCGACGAUCUGUAGCUGGUCUGAGAGGACGACCAGCCACACUGGGACUGAGACACGGCCCAGACUCCUACGGGAGGCAGCAGUGGGGAAUUUUGGACAAUGGGCGAAAGCCUGAUCCAGCCAUGCCGCGUGCAGGAUGAAGGCCUUCGGGUUGUAAACUGCUUUUGUACGGAACGAAAAGACUCUGGUUAAUACCUGGGGUCCAUGACGGUACCGUAAGAAUAAGCACCGGCUAACUACGUGCCAGCAGCCGCGGUAAUACGUAGGGUGCAAGCGUUAAUCGGAAUUACUGGGCGUAAAGCGUGCGCAGGCGGUUAUAUAAGACAGAUGUGAAAUCCCCGGGCUCAACCUGGGAACUGCAUUUGUGACUGUAUAGCUAGAGUACGGCAGAGGGGGAUGGAAUUCCGCGUGUAGCAGUGAAAUGCGUAGAUAUGCGGAGGAACACCGAUGGCGAAGGCAAUCCCCUGGGCCUGUACUGACGCUCAUGCACGAAAGCGUGGGGGAGCAAACAGG